rnacentral:rRNA from 1 species
UGGGGAAUUUUGGACAAUGGGGGCAACCCUGAUCCAGCCAUGCCGCGUGAGUGAAGAAGGCCUUCGGGUUGUAAAGCUCUUUUGUCAGGGAAGAAACGGUAGUAGCGAAUAACUACUACUAAUGACGGUACCUGAAGAAUAAGCACCGGCUAACUACGUGCCAGCAGCCGCGGUAAUACGUAGGGUGCAAGCGUUAAUCGGAAUUACUGGGCGUAAAGCGUGCGCAGGCGGUUGUGUAAGUCAGAUGUGAAAUCCCCGGGCUCAACCUGGGAAUUGCAUUUGAGACUGCACGGCUAGAGUGUGUCAGAGGGAGGUAGAAUUCCACGUGUAGCAGUGAAAUGCGUAGAUAUGUGGAGGAAUACCGAUGGCGAAGGCAGCCCCCUGGGAUAACACUGACGCUCAUGCACGAAAGCGUGGGGAGCAAACAGGAUUAGAUACCCUUGUAGUCCCUGAGCGGGCUGGCAAGGCGCAU